rnacentral:rRNA from 1 species
GACGGAGGAUGCACGCGUUAUCCGGAAUGGUUGGGCGUAAAGCGUCCGCAGGAGGCUAGUCAAGUCCGCUGUCAAAGCGUGAGGCUAAACCUCAUACAGUCAGUAGAAACUGACCCGCUAGAGGGGGGUAUGGGUAGAGGGAAUUCCCAGUGUAGCGGUGAAAUGCGUAGAUAUUGGGAAGAACACCAGUGGCGAAAGCCCUCUAAUGGGCCUCACCUGACACUGAGGGACGAAAGCUAGGGGAGCGAAAGUG